rnacentral:rRNA from 1 species
UACGGAGGGUGCGAGCGUUGUCCGGAAUCACUGGGCGUAAAGGGCGCGUAGGCGGCCUGAUAAGUAGGGGGUGAAAUCCUGCGGCUUAACCGCAGGGCUGCCUUCUAAACUGUCAGGCUCGAGCACAGUAGAGGCAGGUGGAAUUCCCGGUGUAGCGGUGGAGUGCGUAGAGAUCGGGAAGAACAUCAGUGGCGAAGGCGGCCUGCUGGGCUGUUGCUGACGCUGAGGCGCGACAGCGUGGGGAGCAAACAGG